UACGGAGGGUGCAAGCGUUAUCCGGAAUGAUUGGGCGUAAAGCGUCCGCAGGCGGCAAUGUAAGUCUGCUGUCAAAGCGUCUGGCUCAACCAGAUAAAGGCAGUGGAAACUACAUAGCUAGAGUAAGGUAGGGGUAGAGGGAAUUCCUGGUGUAGCGGUGAAAUGCGUAGAGAUCAGGAAGAACACCGGUGGCGAAAGCGCUCUGCUGGACCUUAACUGACACUGAGGGACGAAAGCGAGGGGAGCGAAUGGG
rnacentral:rRNA from 1 species